GCGCUCAUUUCUUAAUCACCGUGCUGCAGGGCACCAAGCGCUGCACCUGGCAGUGGGAGGAGGUGAGCCAUCGCACCAGAUCCAUCCUCAGACAGAGAAGUAUUUUUUGAGACAGGGCUUCUAUUCACAAUAAUGCUGACUGACAUUAAUUAUCACUUAGAAACCCCUGUCAGCACUUCCAUUUGGCAUAGGAAUGGUGCCAGGAGGCAGCUCCAGCAGUAGGAAUUAACGCCCAGGUCCCCAGCGGCUGCUGCGGUGUUGUCCGCGACCGCACAUUGGUGGCAGCAGCGCACGGUGUUGCCCUCCCCUUUCCAACCCCUGUCCUUCCAAUCAGGUUUGCAGGCUCAAACCCUUGCUUCAUGAGCACGCAGGGUGAUUUAUAAUGGGCUUCAAGUGGGAGACGCUGGGAUGGCAGUUGCGGCGCUCCCUGCAGCUGGCCAAGCUCCCUCCCCACACAGCGAUCUGUGUGGCCGCACAGGAGGCACUUGCCCAUUAAAAUGCUGUCAGAGAUCGUCUUUCCGACUUAAAUCAAGGCUGUCGCUUUGGUAGGCGAGGGUUUUCGAGGUGUUUGUCUCUUCAUUCGUUGGUUGUUUUUGUUUUUUUUUUAUCCUGUCCUUUCCGUGUUGUUAUUGCUUCCAUUCCUUAAAGCACCGCAAAUUGCAAGCCUGUGGCUUGCCGUGAAGGCAUGCUGGUAAAUGAUUUAUAGAGGGUCCUACAAAUCAUGUUGCACUGAGCGCAACCCCUUCCCCCACAGCAACAGCCAUCAUUUCAGUGCCGUUCAGCCUUCAAGGGAGCUAAGCUGUCCUUUCCCUGCUGAGAUUUAGGAAGCCAAACAGCACAAUGCAGCUAAAAGUGAGAGUAAACAUGCCACAGUAACAGCCUGGCAUUUAAGUUUCAGCAGGGCUUAAGGUGGCCUUGCUUAUCAGUGGAAUUGUGUUAUGACACCAGCUGGCGUCCAUAUACAGUUUUGAUGCUUUUACAGGCACAAAAUAAAAGCCCAAUAUGUGAAUAGGACUUUGCAGGCUUUUACAGAAAGAGCUUUCUUCUGGGGGCUACACAUGCAGGCACUGCUCGAGCUGUCCCCUGUGCUCAGAAAAGCCUGCGUGAGGGCAAAAAGCUGCACGUGGCCCAAAGUGCCCCUUGUUCCCCACUAUGGGGACAAAGGCAUGGCACAGCCUUGACAAGUUUGUAUACAGGCAUACUUCCCUGAAAGCCAUUUCUCUAAAGUCUUUGUAGUUUUGUUUUUUGUUUUUUGUUUUUAAUCUCAAGCUCCUUUUCCUGCUUUACAUCAUGCUUUCCAUUUUAGAGAUGUCAGAUGAUCUGUGAUAGAGUGACAGGAUGUGCAGGAGCAGUGAGGAGACGAGGUCCAUUUUAAUGAGACUAACUCUACUGGGUAGUGCAGACCGUGCCUCGACAAGCCCUUGGAUCUUGUUUCCUUUUGCAAAGCGUCUUAAUGGCAUAAAAGGAUUUUUGCACAAAUAAGGAAAGGCAAUUCCCCAAACAGAUUUCUUUCAGUGGCCACUGAAAUGGAAAGCUGCCACCGAGAAUUGCAUGAUCCUCUCUAAGAGGUAAGCACAAUCAGAAAUCAGUAUUGCUUGGCUCCCAAAAAUGGACUGAAAUACUUUGGAAUUAGCAGCGUGUUUGCUGGAGGCUCACCAUUCACCCAGCAGGUCCUGCCUGCUGGCACUGAGGUGUAAUGACACAUAAUAUGGUCUGACCCAGCAUUGCUUACCUAUGACCCAUUCCUGCAGGCAGCCUGGAUGCAAAGCAGGAAGAGUGGGGACUUACAACGAGGUGCAAGGGAAAUAUGAGAAGGCCUCACGCUGUUCUCCUGCCUUUUGUUAUUUUGUCAGCUGAUCUUCCAAGCUGUUAUUAGAAUUUCAGGCAGGCUGGGGUCAUGCUUCACACUGGCUACCAGCAUCAGGUAAAUACAAAUGGACAACUAGUCCUGGUCAAAGUUGCAAGGAAGGGUUUCUAUCAAUGGUAUAUUUUCAACCUAGACACCGCUAGUUUAAUAUGUUCUGCAACAUCUACAGAGAAUCACUUUUAUGGGAUCUAUUUUUUAAAUCUUGCUUUCCAGGGAAGUACUUUUUUUUAUCUAGUAUUCUUUCCUAAGCUACUAUUGGAUCCCAGCACAUGAAUUCUAAGAUUUUCUGGGCAAUGUUGCGAAAAAGUGAGUAGAUGAACAGAAGAUGUAAAAUAGUCCCAACUGCCUAAGAGUUAGGCCAUCCACUCUGCCUGUUCUCUACUGAAAUGCGCAUUUGGGAAUGGUCUGUUCAGGUCUGCAGGAAAUCUUAUUUAGUUAUUUUUUAGUAUUUUUAAUAUAUAUAUAUAUUCUGAUCUUAACUUGCAUUUCUGACUACAGAUGACUCCUGUAUUUUUUUUUCAGGUAGGUCCAGAAUAUCACCCCAACUGUGAUCUAUUCUGGAGCUUUCUCUCUGUACAUAAAAGUCAGAUUUAUAUAAAUAGAUGCAGGAAAUCCCAUAUAGCCAGUGAUGAGAGGAUGUUAACCAAUUUUUAAAGGCCCGAUCAGAACAACUACAGAGAAGAGGUCAAUACUAACUGUUAUUCCAAGUGUUAAUCUUAACUCCAAUAAUACUGAAUACUAAAACGGGUUCCCAGAUAAGAAUUGCAAAUCUCGCAUUUGAGAAGAAAGGAAGUGUGAUCCUAGAAAACAGAUGCAGAGCCCUCCAGAUCUCUGCAAGCAUCCAAUCUUUACGCGUUUGAUCGAUAGCUUUAGCAGUGGGACAGAUGUGUGAUGUAUUCACUUUCAGAUCUUUCUAGGGAAGGGAACAAAACAGCAUUAAAAUCUCCCGCCGCUCAUCAGUGAGUAGAUGGCAUUCUCCAUGGGAGGAGCAGGAAGCCUGCCUUGUGGACAGCCAUACCUACAGGUACCUUUUUAGAUUAUGGGAAAGGCAGGAAGGUGACAAAGCUCUGCUUUCCAUUCACUGGGACAACUGGCAAGGCAAAUGAACAGGGCAGGUGGGCAUGCACCCAGAAACUGAGGAGUGCUGGGGGAACAUCAAUAUCAAGAUGAUACCUGAGUUGAUGAAGCUGUGAUGGGCAGACCUGGCUCCCUCUCUUCUGACAGCUAGCAUAGAUAGCUUUUUCUGUUCUCUGUUGCACCUUUAGGGAUCCCAACCAUCACUAGCAGCAGCUUGGGGGCAAAAAAGCCCAGGGCCUUUGGGUACCACAGAUCUCAUCAAUAGAUCUUCAAACAGCAGGGAAAUGCCAGAGGCCAUAUGACUUACAGUCAGUGGCAAUUACUGUCCAGUGCCAUGAAAAUUGCUUGAAGAACAAGUUAGCAGCAUCAUAGCAACCGCCUGCUUAUGGGUUCUUUGUGUCCCUCUCAGAGCCAACCAAAGCAGCCCCCAGGCUUCCAUACAACAUGAUAUGGAGGAAAUUUCGGCGAAGCAUCAAAAAAAGCCUGCCUGCAUAGUGCACCUGGCACAUCUUUGAAGCCCUGAAAGGAAGUCUCUGUGUUCUGGUAUCACUUGAGCCUCCACAAAGGAGAUGAAAAGGAGGAAUAAAACAUCUGAACAGCCCUAUCUGGCCUGAGCUGCACACAUGCAUUACAGCAAAGAUGGAUUUCUUCUGGAUCCUCCUGUGUAUUCUCCUCCUUGGGGAUGGCAGCGAGCAUUUCAACACUCCAAUUACAGGAUGUUCAUGUUAAACAGAGAAGGGGGACAGCCAGUUGGUGACAAACAUUUAGGAUAUGGCAUCAGAAGAUCUGCACAACCUGCAGAAGGACCAACUGCAGUGAUCAUCAUGGCCCCGCUCCCCACAAGUCUUUGCCAUACAUCAACUCCUAGCAGGCAGCCUCACCAGGGCUUAAAUCCCCCCAGCUGCUGCAAAAUGGGACCAGAGGCCCCAGCUUAGCUGCAUCUCAGCCCCGAGCUCUGUGGCAUGGGGCUGCACCAGGAGCACUGCUCAUGCUGACCUUUGGAGUCUGCUUGAAAGCAUCUGAUGCUCAUGGCUGAGAGACGGCACAGUCCUUUCCAACUUCAUGGAGUUUUUGCCUUUGUUUUCUUCCCCACUCAAAUGGAAAUGAAAAUGCAGGCUAAGAAAAAUGGCAUUAAUAAUACAAACUGGGGGCCCUUGGGAGAAAAUUUCAGUUUUGGAAAGUCGCUACACUACAUGGAUGUGUCUUGCUAUCAGAAGUUUACCUGGAUUUUUUUGACUCUUCAUGCAUGCAUGUAUUUCUCUGCUGCCAUGCAUGGUCCUUUCUCCUUAUUUAAUUAGGGUACAAUCAUAAGCAUAUUCUUAAAUUAGAAGAAAUAUAUAAAGAUUCAUCCAUUCAGCAGGCAUUUUUUCUGGGAAAAUACAUGUUCUCCUUCAGGUACUGGCUUUCUUCAGUUUUGUUUCUCUAUUUUUAAUUUAAAGGAACUUCUCUUAUGUUUUAUUCACUUGUUUUCAUUAGGUAAAAGAAUGCCGUGGCAUGAAAACCUGUCCUGAAUGCACCGCCUGCUUGACAGAUAUAUACAAAGACUUGAAACCUGAGAGGAAAAGCGGAUGGUUGCAAGCAAAAAAAAAAAAAAUCUAAACAAAAGAAUGGAAUUAAAGCCAGCACCGGGGCACGUAUUAAUACCAUGCGGCUGUCAUUGCCCGCACUGAUUCCUAGGAGCGAUGCAGAGCAUUGUGCUCAGCAGGAUAAGACUGACAGACCUCGAAUAUGAACCCCCACUGCCUUCUAAAGAGGAUUUCCCAUGGCCAGUAAGUUUUGCUCAGGAGCUCAUCCCAGAAGAGGCAGGCACAAGGCAAGGACCCGGCAUGCUGUGGCAGGCACCAGUGGGGCACUGCUGGGCUCUGCAGCUCCAUUUUCCCCCCAGCCCAGGUGAUAUUAAGCAGCUCCCAGUGGGGCUGGAAAGUCUGAAGAUGUCUGAGGAAUGGAAGAAUGGCAAACAAUGAGAUUGCUGGCGAUAAAGCAAUUCUGGAAAACGUUUGGAUGAAUUUUCUUCAGAAGAUCCACUUCCCUGUCACCCCUGCCUCUCUGUGCUCUGCUGAUGUUACCCUCUGUAACAAAGAGGUCACCAGAAGGAAGAUGUGCAGGAAGGAGGACUGCUAGGUGGAUAUUCCUAAACAUCCAGCACACCGCCAGGCACAGGGCAGGAACAUGCUGCAUUAGUUCUGGGCCUGAGCAGAGUUAGACAAAAUAGCUUGAAAAAUGGAAUGUAUUUCUUUGUGGAGGAGUCUCAGACCUAACACGGAUGUCAUGAAUAGCUGAAAUUAUGUCUGAAUUUGAGAAGAAAAAAACCAACUUCCUCUGAGGUGUGUCUUGCAACUGCAAAUGAGGCAUAACUUGAAUAAUCUUAUCAACUAUGAUGAGCUGUUAUUAGCAUUUGAGUUACAUUUCCCUUGAAAAGUCAGGAGGGGCUGCGGCCCCAGAUUAGGGAUCCCUCCUGACAUGUAAAUAGGUAGCACAUAUGGAAAUGGAGUUGUCCCGAGUGUCACCACCUCGAGGUGAAUGAUAGCUAGAGGUGGAAGAGUGGAGAAUAAAUGUUACUGCAAGAAAAGCUGCUGAAUUUCCUUUUGAGAGACUGAUAAUCCCGCAGGCUUCUACAGAAGCAGCUUUUGAUUAUCAUUGCUGAUGAUAUUAGAAGACAUCUCUGGAGUCUGUCCUUUAAAAAAUGUUUCCCUGGUGCUACUUGAAAACAUAUGGGUUGGGAACUGAAGUGAAAAACUGAUGUUUUGCUAACUCUCUUGGCACGAUGGAGGCUUAAAAAUGAUGUGCCUGAUACCAGAGAUGCAUUUUUAACAGUAAAUGAAAGCAGACUGGAUAAAAAUUCAAAAUACUAGACUGGUAAAUGCAGAUGAAAGAGGGGCUGGUUAAAGGACCGGAUGAGAAAAGGUGGAUCAGUUUAGCUGGGCUGAACAGCAGAGCUAUUUGAGUUGCUUCGACACCCUGAAGGUGCAGACACACACCUGCAACUUACAGAGGGAGCUGAGUAAUCCAGGUCUAACAGUGCAUGUCCAAAUGCACCACUUUCCCAAGGGCUUCAUCAAGUAACAAAAUGGAGAAGCUCAGGCUGCUGCUCGUAUGGUAACAGCUUGGAUGGGGAAGGAACAGAAAGAUGGAGCCAGGCUUCUUCAGUCUAGAAUCUAAUCCAUGCCAGACAGUGGUCUGUAGAUGGCUGCGGUAUCUAACACAGGCACAGCACCUGGAGGGAAGUUCAUGCCCCCCAAUGGCUCUUAUCCAUAAAACUAAACCUAUUUCCAGACAACAUACGUUAAUCCUUAGAAGAUGUCGUGUACUGGAAUAAGUGUGUCUUAUACUGGACCUGGAUGAGGUUAGUUUUGCUGAUUCAAUAGAAUCAGAGAAUCAUUAAGGUUGGAAGAGACCUCCAAGAUCAUCCAGUACAACUGCCCACCUGCCACCACUAUUCCCCCUUUAAACCAUGUCCCUAAAUACCACAUGUACAUGUUUCCUGAGCACCUCCAGGGACUGUGACUUCACCACCUCCCCAGGCAACCUAUUCCAGCACCUGACCACUUUUUUGGAGAAGAAAUUUUUCCUAACCUGAAAAGGCUGGAUAGGUUAUAAAGACCAACCAAUCAAACACAAAAAAACAUUAUGCUGAUGCCACUGUAAUGUCUUCACUGUGAAAAAUGCUGGCCAUCAACAAGGGAAAAGCUAGACAGGCUUCAUCCCAUCAGCUCCACCAACUGUUAAAAAAUGAAUCUGUUGAAGUUGCUGCAGAAAAACUUCUGAAAAGAAGAUACUUUGAAAAAGUGCUGAAUCUGCAGAAUCAUUGCAUCUCUUGGCUGGUCAUGCAUUUUCUGAGCCUCUGCCAAUAAUUACAGUUUCUGAAAACUUCUGAAAGCAAACAAGCAUUCCCUUCCACGGCUUUCUGUUCCACCACUUUUGGGUCCAUUAGUCAGUACAUGCAUACCCCCACAGUCAGGCGACCAGCAGAUUGGUGCUACAAAACUGCUUUGCCUUCCAGAGUGUCAGGUGAUGAAAUUUAGGAGGCUUGGGUGUAUUCAUAAGAUCAAAUAGCCAACUGCUGACGAGCUAGGUAUCCUGUGCUAGCAUGGGAAGACUCACCACCUACUUAAUUUCUGUAACCAGGUCUGAUAUUUCCCCAGGAAAUGUUUAAUAAAGAUGCCAAAACAUUUUAUUAUACCUGAAUGCCCCUUAAUAAAGAUGCAUUUUUGGUAUAUGGUGGUUACAGUGCCUGCUGAAGCUAUAAAGUUCUGUGGCAUCCUGAAGAAAUGGUAGAUCCUAAAGACAGCUUUUGCUCUUAGCCACAACCAAUUAGCAGUAUCUAUUUCUGAGUUUUCCCCGGCCCUGUUUUAACAAUCUCUAACUAGGAGCUUAACCUCUGUUCCAAAAACUGACGUGGGUAAAAUGCACUUAACAUUGCUCACAAUUCUUACAACAGACAGAACAGGUUUUGCAUAUGGCUACACAGAGAAGUUCUAUUUCAGUGAUUUUAGGUGCCAGGAUUUCUCCAGUUGUGACUCAAUCCAUGACUUCCCAUUAAAAGAAGCCUUUAUGCUUCUUCAACCAAGAGGCAGGUCACGUUCUAAGACAAUUCAAACUAUUUUAUUCUAGCCUAUGUCUAAAUUGAACAAUAAAAACUGUUAUCCUUUAUGACCACCAACCAAUUAACUGACCUGGUGAUAGGGAAUUAAGUCAAUCUUCUUCCUUUGAAACGACAGCUGAAAUAGAGCAGUACAGUUCUUUGUCUCCUGUUUGAGAGCAGGAGAGGAGGAAGGAUUGGAACAGGAUGACCGACAGACAGAAAUCUUGCCCUUGUUGCAACACCAAAAUGCUUCCCAUUAACUUCUGGAUGCCGAGAUCUCCCCAUCAUGUCACUCUUUCUGGGAAGCCUUCAUAAAAUCAGGAUAAAUGACAGUGGAGUGUGAGGAGUGCUCCCCAGCCCCAUUGAAGGAAGAAAAUGGAAUGAAUGUUCAAUAAAUAUGGAAAAAAAUGGAAUGUUUGGAGUAAGGAUAAAUGGGCUGUGCUUCCACAGCUCACUUUUCCAGGCACAAUGCUCUCAUGGCUGCCAUAUGUGACAUGCUUUGUUGGAUCCUUCAGGACAACUCAGUCUCAGCUAGAAGAGAUUGCACCGAGCAACUUGGUUGGUGAUGCUUAGAAUCCAUUCUGUGCUGCUUCGUGGACAGCCCUAAACCCUGCAUACAUGGUUGGUGCAGAACUGCGAAGUCACAAAACCAGCUACCAGAGACAUACCUGAGGCAACAAAGAAAUGAAUUCAUGUCCGGCUACUGAGGGAAAAGUGCCAGUUAUUUGUGUAGUUAUGUACAACUGCUGCCCAGAAGUACUGCAAAGUGUCAAAUGUAAAUGCAGAGUGCAGAGGAGAUGUUGGUCCUACUGGCAGGGUCCUUCACAGCGCUCCCAAGUGCCAACAUCUAAGAACCAAGCUGAACUGGACACCAGGGCAAUGCCAAAGAGUGUUCACAGAUGGGCACAGCACAGGCAAAUGAAUGCUAAAGAAAAUCUGGUGGAUGAUGUGACUCUUCUUAACAAAGGAACUAUUGUUUGUUUUGCCCAAUUCUGCCCCCUGGAGCUUUCAUCUGAGCCUUGGGAAAGCAAGCUGCCGUGUCCAGCACUUGCUCCUGGCUGCUCUCUCCUUGCUGUCCCUGCCUGGUUCCCUCAGUGCAUUCUCCAACACUUGAAAAUUCACCCGACUUGUGACUCACAUUUUAAUCUUAUCCAAGUCACAAUGUUUAUUUCACAGGAUGCCCAAUUAAACAGUAAUUCAGCCUGCUCUGGAGUUGUUUCCUUCCCAUAUGGUGAUUGGUAUAACCUGAAUAAUGUAGGAUGCACAGAAGAAAAGGCAGAAAACAACUUCAGUGAUACUGGGAGAGCAAGCUACAACUUCUUCCACUGAAGAAGAGUGGAAAAGAGCAUGCACGGAAGUGUUAACAUGGGUCAUCAUUUCUGAUGCUCCCUGACUCCUAAGAAGAGGAGGGAAGGAUUUCAGACUGGGUAUCAGGAAAAACUUCUUCCUCUAAAAGAGUGGUCAGGAGAACAGGCUGCCCAGGGAGUCACAGUCCCUGGAGGCGUCCAAGAAACACGCAGAUGUUGUACUGAGGGACAUGGUUUAGUGGACAAGCAUUGGUGAUAGGUGGAUGGUUGGACUGGAUGAUCUUGGAGGUCUUUUCCAACAUUGGUGAUUCUAUGAUUCCAAGAUGGUGCUACCUGGGCAUGCAUAACAGAGUCCCCUUAAGCCUGGGGAGCAGGAUCAGGAGUGAGGCUGCAGUUCACACUAAAUGAAAGAAAAUCCAUGGCCCUGCUUUCCCUGUCCCACUUCUGCCCUCCACUGUAGCUACUGCAGGAAUGCCUGUACCUUGCACCUUGCAUCCAAGGUAUUAGAAUUCCUAUUAACCCUUCCAUCAGGAGCCAAUUAAAAAAAGAUGGUCACCAAUUUUUAAUCAUUUUGUGAUGGUUUAAUAAGCCUCCUGGAAUCUCUCUUCUGUCCAUACCGCAGCUCUCUGCUGCAUAAACUCACUGGUUUGUUGCUGUGCAGUUUCUCACAGGCUCCCAGGUGGUGAUAAAAGGAUAUGAAAAUAACAUCAAGUGGGGAAGAAAAGACAUUGACCCCAAAGACUCUGUUAUGACAAAUGGUGGUAAUAUGCAACAAUUUGGGGAACUUCUGUGUUUUUGCCUUGCCCAAAAUUCGGAGUAUAUGUUCAGGACUGCCUGCAGAAUUUCAGCUGCUGGGGGGCACUCCACCUUGAACGCUGCUGUGCUCUUAAAGUUAUAUCCCUGCACUGGAGCAGAGCUGCAUGGCCAUUUUGAGCAUGGAAUUAGUUAAGAUACACAGUUUGUACCUUUUUACUAUGAAACUGGGAUUUUUAGCUUGUUUUUCUGGUUACUGGUAUUGAUGGUUACAGAACACCCAUGUAAUUGCCAAGCACUGUUUCUAGCCAUGAAGAGCAAGCGGUCCAAUAAUUUAAUAAUGAUAAUUUAAAAAAAAACACAAUCAAACAAAACUAAUCCAAAAGAGGGUCUAUUUUUACUACAGCAUCCACAUCUAGACACCAGCAUUCAUUGUCAUUGAUAACAGAGAAGAAAAAAGUCUCCUAGACUUAGGAAAUGGUUUUAAAUUUUUAUGAGCUCUCUGUAAUGCCAUCCUCAGCUACUCUAGCUAAGAUGAAAUUGCAAGGUUUACCCACUGAUGUGCUUUGAGAAAUAAAUCAGAAACUAAUUGUCUGACAUUAGAGAAGAACUUGUUUUUACCUCCUCCCACCCUACUCAACAUAACUAUUUCUGUUUCCUUUAUACUGUGUAGUCAGUGUCAAUGCAUGUGAUGAGAGCAUAUAUGUUUAUUAUUACACUUGGAUUGAUCUUCAUUUGACCCAUGAAAUUGAUAUGCUUCCUGUGUGAGAGUUAGUCAGAGACAUACUUUAAUUCUUAUUAAACUAAACCUUUACCAGGGGGCAGGGAGAUUUCAAGGGAGUCUCUGCCAUGUAAAGAAAUCAUGCUGUCUUUCCAUAUAUGAAUCUAAGCACAGUCAGACCUCAGAUUGUAUAGAGCAAGAGAUGUGAAAUGAAUUAUGAGUACUGAGAGUUUGAAUAAUUGACGGAAAUUUCGAUGCAAUUAAUAAAAAGUAAAGGAUGUGAACUCGUUGCUGAUGAAUUAGGGUCUGUGGAUUGUUAUGGCAUGGUAAAUCCAAACGUCAGCCACCCCCCCAUUUUUCUCUGCUGUAAAGCAGCAAAGCCCGUGCUUCUAAUGCAGAUUUGUUAUGCUCUGGCAUAUCUAAUUUCUUAAACCAGAAAGACAAAGAUGACUGAUGCCAAAAAGUGGGAGGGUACAUUUUAAAAAUCCCAAUGCUAUUUUAAACGUGGGCUAAAAUGAGACUAUUGUGUGGUUAAAAUUUAUCUAGCAUCCUCUCUGGUUGAGGCAUAUCUUGUCAUAUAGAGCAGUGCUGUUAAAGUAGUUCAUGGGAAUGAUGUGCAUGACUCCUCUUGCUAAUGGGAGCUGUGUGCAUAGAACAAUUUAGCUGUUAGUGCUCUGAGGAGAACUUGAAUAGCAGGGGCUUGGAGAGGAACAAAACAAAAAGAAAGCUGCUAAGGGCAUUCUGAAAAUACACUUGCUAUUCUUUUUCUUCCCAAGCAUUGCUGCGGUAAGCAACCGCUUCAAAAUUCCUCUUUAAACAAGUGACAUGAAAAGGAAAAGAGCAUGACUUUGUAUCAACAGCCAUUCAGAACAGAGCGGGUCCCAAACUAACCUUGGGGGUAAGGAAGGCUGGUGGGGGGCAGGGUGCCGUGCAGCCGUUCCCUUUGGUUUGUUUCGCUUGGUUUGCCAGUAGUUUAGAGAAAGCAUCCCUCAUGGGAGCGUUCUGACCCAAAUAUCUGGGAUGCUGUACAGAACACCGGCAGGCCAGGAUUUCAGAAAUACAACUGCCUACAGUAAGGCACCCAGCAAAGCACUUGAAUAUUCCACCCGGCUCCCCACCCCCAGGCGAUGGGAUUGCUUAUGCAUUUAAGGCUAGAGUGCUUAAGAGCUCCCUUAUGUAUAGGUUGGAGAACUUAGACAUGGGUGCAGACCCGACCAUGAGCUGUCUGCUAUUGUAGAGCUUGGCCAGAGGGAGGCUUUCUGCAUUUGAUUGUUGUUUUUUUUUUUAAUCACUUUGCUUGUUGAGGAUUUUCCCAACCACGCUGUAUGCAGCAAGCUGCCUUUAAAUGCACUGCAAAGCACGAUUCUGAACCUUUCCUGAACCUUUUAAUUGUGGGGUAGGCUGCAGAUACACAGGUUGUAACAGGGCUGUGUACAGCUCCUAAGGUUAUGGCAAACACCUAGCAGACUAGAGAGCAGCUCCUUUUAAAGGCUCAGCUAAUUGCCAACUCUCCAUUAUUUCCCAGUCAAGCCUACAAAAACCUGGGAUAUUAAAAAUGCCAAAGAACAUUAUGGAAAUCACCAUCCUUUCCUAAAUGAUGCCAUAUACAUUUCUUAAUGAGUAAAAAGGUGGCUUCAGGUACCAGGAUGGGAUACAGAAAUCCUGACUCCAAUUCCUACUCCCACCAAAAGAUGUAUGUAUGGCCCUGGGCAAGCUACUGACCAUUCGGUUCCAAAUCUGUAAAAGGCAAUAUACUUUUCUGCCUUUUGAGUCAUGAGAGCCUAACAUCCAUUAGUAAUUGUGAGACGCUCAAAUGUUAAUUCUUAAGUGCUUAGAUACAUCAGUAGAAGAAUUUUCCAAAGAGAUAUUACUGAACAGAUCUGUGCAUUCUUUUUGGUAAUAUUCGUUAUAAUGUGUUGCUGUACAUCUUUAUUCCCAAUGUUUUAUUUAUUACAAAGUACUAAAGGUUGGGUUUCCUUACAGGAAUGGAUUGACUUGGAGGAGUUCCACAGGGAGUGUAAAUGUUUUCUAUGUCAGAAGAUUAAUAACAGGAAAAAGAAAAAGCUAAGGCUUCCAUUUGAUUGAGACAAUAAAUAAAUGCCUUCACUUUGGCUCCUGGUCUACCAUCUAGUUAUAAGAUUCUUAUGCUUGUUCAGUCUCAUUCUUAACUGCCACACUUUCUGUUUUCUUCCACUUCUAGAACUGAUGUACUAACUGCUGCCAAAAAAACCAACCAACUUUCCAAAGCACGUAACAAAUAUCGCUCCAUAUUUCCUGAAUUGAAUGUUACUGUGGGACAGCCUGUGACAUCUACAGGAAUGCCGACUUGCUAUUGAGUUGUCAGGUCCUGCCCAGGUCUGACUACUAGUGACAGGAGAGAAAAGAAUCCAAGCUACUGAUACAGGGUUAGCUUAAAGAUGAGGUCAGGCUGAUAGACAGGAAAAAGUAUUUAAAUUCCUUUUGAUGAAGCUGCGUGUUUCUCACAUAUAUAAAUCGGGGCUAAAUGUUCUGACUACAUUCCUGUAUCUUGUGUUACAGAUAUCUACUACAUCAUCCUGUCCAUUCCAUUCCUCAUCCUGGUUUCCGUUAUGCUCACUGAUGUGGUCUUCCUUCAGGGCUCUUUUUGUCUUUCAUUAAUAAUCUCUAAUCAUUAAUUACCUCUGUAACCCAGUAGAAUGUCUCCAUUUCCUUAAUCACUACUCUGAAAGUGUUUCAGGAGCUCUCCGAUUACAAGGCACUAAAUAAAAUGCAGGGUGUUAUUGCCACUAAAACCUUCUGUGGUUUUUAUACUGUUUCUAUGAAGGCUGCUCCAAAAGUAAUCCCUCCUAUUUUAUGACACUGGUCCAUGAAGUUGAGGUUGAACCUUCUUGCCAGUAUUCUGCUACAUUUUGUUGCUGUGAAAUAGAUGGCAGCUGAGGGGCACUCUGACAGAAUGGUGUUUGAUAUGGAUAUGUGCAUGAACUGUAAUUUAACUCCUCCCUACAGGAAAAAAUGGCACCCACUGACAUUUAUUAAUGCUUGCUGAACGUUUCUGGAGACCAAACAGUGAAUGUGAGCACAGUGAGGUGUUGGGUGGUGCAUUUCAGCUGUGGUGACAGCAACAGUGGGUCACCUCCACUAGUGCAGAUUUGUACAAGCGUGGUAUGCAGGCUCUUGUACAUCACCAGCAAAAAUACACAGCUAAUGGUUGUGACUGUAUUGAAAACUAGUGUUUUGUAGCUGAGAAUUUGUUCUAUCAAACUGUGUUAUUGUGCCCUUUGUAUCUGUUCCGGUUUACAUGGAAAUAAAUAGAAGGCAUUACUUUUGGAGCAUCCUACUAUAUAUCCCACUUGAUACUUGUCCUGUUCAUGCAGUACUUUGAUGCAGAAUUUGUAACACUGCACUCUGCUUUAUUACUCCCAGUGAUCCUUUUCUGUCCAUUCUUGGCUGGUACCCUGAACCACAGAGGUGCAGUGUUGUACUGGUAUCACUAAGGCACUUUAAGUCACUUUUCUGUAAUUUGGACUCUGAGCUGAUCCCAAAGAUUGCUCACUUUAUGAGCUAUAUCAGACUAAAGAGAGCUCUCUGUGGACAACUCUGCAAUUCAGAGCCACACGGAGUCCCUUUGGAGUGUUCUGCAACGCAGCCAAGUCAUAC